rnacentral:lncRNA from 10 species
AGGCGCCCGCGACUACGCCCGGCUAAUUUUUUGUAUUUUUAGUAGAGACGGGGUUUCACCGUGUUAGCCAGGAUGGUCUUCGUCUCCUGACCUCGUGAUCCGCCCGCCUCGGUCCCCUAAAGUGCUGGGAUUACAGGCAUACACUCUUAAGUAACCUGGUGGGGACCCAUCAAACUACAAAGGGUUAUAGCUACUCUUACAGAAGACAUAAGAAGAUAUAUACGCAGAGAAGACAUCAUAAGACCUGAAGAUGAAAAACUUCUGAUCACAGAAGAAAGAUAUACAACAGCCUUGAAGCAUUCUGAGAACCCAGUGAAGGCAAUAAUGUCUCUUCCCAGAGAAAUUCACAGGAGCAAGACACAGAAGACAUGGAGAUCCAUGUAGAAUCAUAAGAAGGUAGCCCCUAGAAGCUUGGAACUGCCCUCAGACUACAGCCAGGAAGCAGACAGGGACUUCAGUUCCACAGCCACAAGGAGCUGAAUUCUGCCAACCAGAAUGAGCAAGAACAUGGAUUCUCCCCUCAAGCCUCCAGAAAAGAAUGCAGCCUACAGUCAGCACUUUAAGUCCCAUGCAACCUAUAAUAGAUUUCUGACCUACAGAGCUUUAAUGUCAUAAAUUGGUGUUGUUUUAAGUCAUGAAGUUUGUGGUAGCUUCUUAUGACAGUAAUUGAAAACUAAUACCUGGUCUUUUUAGCAGAAUAACGAGCACCCUGUAAUGUGUCAUUCAUGCAUAUCUUUUUUUUUUUUUUUUUUUUGGUGGGGGCAGGAAGACAAAACUCUAGAGUUUAAUCUUCCAGCUGACUGACUUGGAAGUGUUCCUGUCAAUAUAAAAGAUCUUGUUGGGGG